GACGAACGCUGGCGGCGUGCUUAACACAUGCAAGUCGAACGGAAAGGCCCUGCUUUUGCUGGGUGCUCGAGUGGCGAACGGGUGAGUAACAAGUGAGUAACCCGCCCUUGACUUUGGGAUAACUUCAGGAAACUGGGGCUAAUACCGGAUAGGAGCUCCUGCUGCCUGGUGGGGGUUGGAAAGUUCCGGCGGUUGGGGAUGGACUCGUGGCUUAUCAGCUUGUUGGUGGGGUGGUGGCUUACCAAGGCUUUGACGGGUAGCCGGCCUGAGAGGGUGACCGGCGACAUUGGGACUGAGGUGCGGCCCAGGCUCCGACGGGAGGCAGCAGUGGGGAAUAUUGCACAAUGGGCGGAGGCCUGAUGCAGCAACGCCGCGUGCUGGAUAACGGCCUUCGGGUUGUAAACCGCUUUCGCCUGUAACGAAGCGUGAGUGACGGUAAUGGGUAGAAAAGCACCGGCUAACUACGUG
rnacentral:rRNA from 1 species